rnacentral:rRNA from 1 species
UACAGAGGGUGCGAGCGUUAAUCGGAAUUACUGGGCGUAAAGGGCGCGUAGGCGGAUAUUUAAGUUAUAGGUGAAAUCCCCGGGCUUAACCUGGGAACUGCCUAUAAUACUGGAUGUCUAGAGUAGAGUAGAGGGAAGCGGAAUUUCCGGUGUAGCGGUGAAAUGCGUAGAUAUCGGAAAGAACAUCAGUGGCGAAGGCGGCUUUCUGGACUCAUACUGACGCUGAGGCGCGAGAGCGUGGGGAGCAAACAGG